rnacentral:misc_RNA from 1 species
AACAAAAUUGGAGAAUGCCUUCAGCAAUUUAUCCUUAAGGGGGAAUAUUAUUGCAACCGUAUAAACAAAAUCAUGAGAACUAACAAGAAAAAAAAUGAAACUAAAAAAGAAAAAAAGCCAGCCAUUGGAUGGAUAGCAAUGCACUCUAAUGCCAGCUACAAUUGACAUGGUCAUGUUACUGUUUUUAAUUCUACAGCCUGUAGUCAAUCUCACGACUCGCAUAGUUGCGUAAUAGAAACUCUUUGGAAUUACUUGAGCACAUAACAGCUUGUAAGUCGAUUCAAAUCACUAUAUUCACAUUUAAUUGAAUAAAUGGCCAAUUGGCUAGCAGCCUCACCUUUCUGCUAAGACCCAACAGGGGCAAUGCCUUUAGCUUUAUGCUGUGGCACCAGCCGCUGCUGCUGCAGCAGCUGCAGAUGCAGCUGGAUUAGGAGUAGAUGGAGGUACUGGGUUAGACUGUGAACUGCCCUGCGAUGCAACUUUCUGCUGAUGCUGCUGUUGUUGUUGUUGCUGUGAAUUCACAUGGGCAAGCAGAGCCUUGAUUUGACUUCCUGUGAGUGUUUCAUGCUCAAGCAAAGCAUUAGCAAGUGCAUGAUGCUCCUUGCUAUGGGUCGUGAGGAUGGUUUUUGCAUUGUUGUAAGCCCUUUCCAGGAA